rnacentral:rRNA from 1 species
UGUCCUUAGUACGAGAGGACCGGGAUGGACUGACCUCUGGUGUACCAGUUGUUCCGCCAGGAGCAUAGCUGGGUAGCUAAGUCGGGAAGGGAUAAACGCUGAAGGCAUCUAAGCGUGAAGCCCACCUCAAGAUAAGAUUUCCCAUAGAGUAAUCUAGUAAGAUCCCUUGAAGAACACAAGGUUGAUAGGUGAGAGGUGUAAGUGUGGUAACAUAUUUAGCUGACUCAUACUAAUAGAUCGAGGGCUUGACCA